UGGUGGAGUGAUUUGUCUGGUUAAUUCCGAUAACGAACGAGACCUUAACCUGCUAACUAGUCCCGGUAACGCUCGCGUUGCCGCCGGGGACUUCUUAGAGGGACUAUUGGCGUUUAGCCGAUGGAAGUUUGAGGCAAUAACA
rnacentral:rRNA from 1 species